rnacentral:rRNA from 1 species
CCUACGGGUGGCAGCAGUGGGGAAUAUUGCUCAAUGGGGGAAACCCUGAAGCAGCGACGCCGCGUGGGGGAGGAAGGCUUUCGGAGUGUAAACCCCUUUUGGUAGGGAAGAAAAUGACGGUAGCUGACGAAUAAGCACCUGCUAACUGCGUGCCAGCAGCCGCGGUAAUACGGAGGGGGCAAGCGUUACCCGGAAUUACUGGGGGUAAAGGGCGCGGAGGCGGGAUAACAAGUCAGAAGUGAAAUGCUAGGGCUUAACCCUAGAACUGCCUUUGAAACUGUGCAUCUAGAGUGUGGGAGAGGUAGGUGGAAUUCGUGGUGUAGGGGUGAAAUGCGUAGAGAUCAGGAGGAACACCAAUUGCGAAGGCGGCCUACUGGAACAUAACUGACGCUGAGGCGCGAAAGCGUGGGGAGCAAACAGGAUUAGAUACCCUAGUAGUC